UACGGAAGGUCCGGGCGUUAUCCGGAUUUAUUGGGUUUAAAGGGAGCGUAGGCCGCCCCUUAAGCGUGUUGUGAAAUGCGGGUGCUCAACAUCCGACUUGCAGCGCGAACUGGGGGGCUUGAGUGCGCCGAAAGUAGGCGGAAUUCGUGGUGUAGCGGUGAAAUGCUUAGAUAUCACGAAGAACUCCGAUUGCGAAGGCAGCUUACUGUAGCGCAACUGACGCUGAUGCUCGAAAGCGUGGGUAU
rnacentral:rRNA from 1 species